AAGAGCGUAGCAUGUGACAAGGAUGAGAAUAAGUCACCUCCUAUAGAAGCAGACGAAGAUAUGGGGCUUGAGAAACUUUCUUUUUAUUUUAAAUUAGAAAACGUAAGUUUCUCAGUGAAAAGGCAGAAUUUUCAAGGUUCUCUAGAGACACCAAUGGAGAUCUGCUACCUAUCAAGUGAUGAAGAGAAAGACGGGAGUACUUCAGAAAAGGAGGUUUUUGAAGAAAGGACUCCAUUAACUCAAGAUGAUGGGAAUGCAAAUCCUGAAGAAAUAGUUGGAGAUACACACAAAUUUUGUAAGCAGUAUAUAACUACAUUUCAGAAGUUCGAUAUGGAUGUACAGAAAUUCAAUGAAGAACAAGAAAAAUCAGCUAAUAAUUAUCAAAAACAACAAAAAGCAUUUAAACUGUCAAAAAGUAGCCAGAACCAGUCCCUGCAAGCAGUUAGAGAAGUGCAUGAGAAAUUCAUGAAG
rnacentral:lncRNA from 1 species